CGAAAAAUGCCUCUUUACGAUUUUACUUAGGCACUUCGGCUAGUUUCAAAGCCAUCUCUGAACUGCUGCAAAUUUCAAUUUCUUGUUUCCAAAACUCUUAUGUACAGAAUUAGCAUUUCUUUUGAAUUACUGGUUUUUAAAAUACUUUAAGUUCUGACAAACUGGAUCCAGGUUGCCUAAUGCGGACUUAUUAUCCAACUCUAUGUGUUAAACUAGUCUGUCCACUUUCAGUUUUAAUCAUAACACCAAAUCAGUACUUGCAAGUCAUGCUAAACUAAUUGUUGUUGUGAUCUACGGGGUCUUGUAUGAGCCUUUGAAUGUAUGAUUUGUAUACAAUUACGAGUUAGUUGUUUUGAUUGACGCCUUAGUAUUUUGUCCAUUUAAACUCCGUAUAUGUCCUAUCCUUUUCCCCCUUUUAGGAUUAGUAGUCCAAAUAACCCAGGAAUGAUAGGCGGGGACGAGUACUAGUAUGCAAUAAGUAAACGAGACUAAUCGCGCUUAAAUACCUUAAAGGGGUGGGAAGGAUAGAAUAUGGAGAUGAUGAAGAUGCACUAAUAUCAUAAGGCGACCCCUCUAUAGGAACAUGUGCGGUAUAUUGCAUCGAAUGAUCAAUAUUGUAGUUAAACCUAGGACCCUCCUUCUUAAUUUUCCUUUAUAUAAAUACUUUUCUUCAAACUAAAACUCUCUUUUACUUGUACCUUUUCUGAUUUCCAAUAGACAACUUGUUUAUAUUUCUUAUGUGUAAACUUUGCUUGCCUAAUCCUACUCUUCUUAAAGUCACAUCUAAUCAACGCCCCCAACCACACUAAUGGAUCUUGAGGGGUUCCUAACACCUUCCCCUCGAGAUAUCUCAAGCCCUUACCCAAACUUUGGUUUUCCUUCAAAUCAUUCUUCUUUUCUCAAAGAGUGUCAUAAUGCAAUAUAAUUAUUAAGUGGCGACUCUUCAAACUCCAUUGCCCAAAUUCCCUCAAGAAGGGGAUAAAAGAGUCAUUCCCCCACAAUGUUGUAAACCCGAUUUAUUUCUCCCGAGAGAAGAGGGCGUCGACAGGUAUAAUAUAACAUGGCUGAGUACAUAUAUUAAAAUCAAAAUAGUGAGGAAUUAGCAGUAAAAAUCCCCUAAGGGUCCAAAUAGUUGGCACGAGGCCCAAGUAUGGCAUUCAGCCCAAAACAUGAUGAUAGCAAAGUGUUCUGUCAAAUACACGAUAAACAGUCAUUCAGGAUGGACUAAGUCACAAUCCCCAAUGGUGCACUACCCUGCGCUAUUCAUCUAGCAUGUGUGUCACCUUAAUAUAGCACAACGAUAUGAAAUCCGAGGUUUCAUAUCCUCAGGACAACAUUUACAAUCAUUACUCACCUCGAUCCCAUCGAAAUCUCUAGCCCGCGAUGCCUUUGCCUCUUGAAUCACCUUCCAGAUGUUUCAAAUCUAACUAAAGUUUGUGCACAACCAUCAAAAUAUGCUAAGGAAACAAAGGCCACUCGAAAAAAGUCAAAUUACAACACAAGUCCCAAAAUUGGCCAAACCUGGCCCCGGGCCCACAUUUCAGAUUCUGAUAAAAAAUUCAUCAAUAGACUCCUCAUCACCCUCGAGUUUAUUCAUAUCAAAAUCUCCAAAUUCCAACAACAAUUGAUCCCUCAAAUUUCGGAAUUGGCCAAACCCGACCCCCGGGCUUACAAGUGAGUACUCCAACUUAGUGAGUAAUAAUCAUAAAUAAGGACUGAAAUCAGGAGAUCAUGUAAGGCACAAUUGCACACUAUAAUGAAGCAGUAAAACCAAUGAUGUAGUAAAAUCAGUAAAAGAGAUGUGAAAGUCAUUUAGCUCAAAUUAAACCUCCUGAAAACCCUUUUCAGCAAUUCAGCAGGUAAAUGAUAGGCAAUUAAGGAAAAAUAAACACAUCAAUAUUCGCUCCUCUAGCACAGUAUCAACAAAUCCUCCCCUCAGGCAAUAUCUUAGAACAAUACCAGCCCCUCGGGCUACAUCUCAUAUCACAUGGGUACCCGCACACACUGGGGUGUGUGGACUCCUGGAGGGGGCCCUUACGGCCCAAGCACAAUAUCAUUCCAUCUCGUGGCAUCAUCACUAGGCUCUCGACCUCAUAUCAAUCAAGUCACCUCGUGGCGUACAUAUCUCAGGCCCUCGGCCUCAAAUCAAGCACAGUUUUUCCUUACAACAUAGGCCAUUGACCUUACUCAGGGAAAAAUCAUCACAAGCCACUCGGCAGUAGAAAAAUAGGAUUUCUCAGCCCAGUUUUUUUUAAAAGAUCAUAUAAGUGUUAAAACAUAGUAAACAUGACUGAGUGUGAAAAUAGUGAAAUAUAUCAUGACUGAGUUCAAGUAUAAAAUCAAAACAGUGAGGAAAUAUCAAAAAAAAUCCUCGAUGGGUCAAAUAGUUGGCACGAGGCCCAAAUAUGGCAUUCAGCCCAGUUAUCGGUGAUAGCAAAUAGAUUUCAGUCAAAUACACGGUAAAAUAGUCAUUUGGAAGGGACUAAGUCACAAUCCCCAACAAUGCACGAUUCCACGCUCGUCAUCAAGUAUGUGCAUCACCUCAAUAUAACAAAGAAUGUGCAAUCCGGGGUUUCAUACCCUUAGAACAUCAUUUACAAUCAUUACUCACCUAAAACUGGUCAUAUCUCUAGCUCGCGACCCCUUUUUCCCUCGAAUCAACAUCCAGGCGCGUCAAAUCUAUCCAAAAUCACAAUCCCGGUGUCAAAAUAUGCUAAGGAAAUGAAGCCCAAGCAAAAAUAAUCAACAUACAACACAAAUCUUGAAAUUACCAAAACCGGUCCCGGACCCACGUCUCGGAAUUCGAUAAAAUUCACAUUAAUGGAUUCCUUAUCUCCCCACGAGUUCAUACAUAUCAAAAGUACCAAAAUUCGACCACAAAUGGUCUCUUAAAUCCUCAAGUCUAGGUCUCCAAUACCAAGCCCUAUAUUCCUAAGUUUAACCCUUAAUUUCCAUUAAAUAUAGCUCUAAUCCGUGAAAUAAUAGCAUAGGAAUGAGUUUUAGGUCCAAACUCCUUACCUCAAUGAAGUUCCCUUGAAAUCUCUCUUCAAAUCAUCCAAAAAGCUCCUAAGUUGAGUAACAAAUGGUGGAAUAGUUCAAAAAUUGUGAAGGAAAUAAUUUAUACCUUCUGGCCCAUGCAUUUUCACAUCUGCGACCACUUUGCCGCUUCUGCGGUAGUGCAUUUGCGGCCAACCAUGCGGUUAUUCACUUAACUUCCCAUUUUCCACAUCUGCGACAUCGCAUGUGCGGUCUUCCUAACCGUUUUUGCGGUUUCUGCCUCUCCAGCUCAUUUCCAAUUCUGCGUCUCCGUUCCUCACAUCUGCGGCAUCAUAUAUGUGGUCCCCAAUUUGCAGGUGAGCAAAUGCCAGAAGCAGAAAAAUCUGCAACUUCACAAAAUCUCAAACUUAUCCGUCAAUCAUCCAGAAUCACCCCCAGGCCCCGAGGAACUUAACCAAAGGCACCAACAUAUAGCAUAACCUUACUCACACUCGUACAAAUCUUUAAAACACCUCAAACAAUGGAAAAUCAACUAAAACACAUCGGAUUCAAGCCUAAGUUCCCAAAAUUUUUCCGAAUUCCUCCUUUGAUCAAAACUCCAACCAAAUCAUGUCCGAAUGACUUUAAUACUUUGCACACACAUACCAAAUGAUACAAUGGAACUACUGCAACUCUCGGAAUUUCAUUCCGACCCCUAUAUCAAAUUUUUUCUACCAACUGGAAAUCGCCAAAAUAUCAACUUCACCAAUUCAAGCCUAAAUCUACUUCGAACCUCCAAAACUCAUUCUAAUAAUGCUCCUAAGUCCCAAAUCACCUUCCAAAGUUAACCGAACCAUCGUAACUCACAUCCAAGCCUUCUAGAACAUAAGUCAACAUCCGUUUGACUUUCUCAACUUAAGCUCCCUCAAAAGAGACAAUAUCUCAAGCCUUUUCAAAUCAAUUAUUAACCCCAGCCAACCAGCCCUAUCACACAUAGAACCGAUAGACAAAGAAAUAAAAAGUAGAAAUGGGGGAAACAGAGUAGUAACUCAUGAGACGACUGGCCGGGUCAUCACAUCCUGCCUAACCUAAACAAACAUUCGUCCUCGAACGACUCAAGAAACAUACCUGCAGCCUCAAACAGGUGAGGAAAUCUGCUCUACAUCUCCCACUAGGUCUCUCAUGUAGCCUUCUCCAAGGGCUGACCUCUCCACUACACCUUCAUUGAAGCUAUAACCUUUGACCUCAACUUUUGAACCCGAUGACCCAAAAUAGCUAUUGGCUCCACAUCAUAAGUCAACUUAUCAUCCAACUGAACCAUGCUAAAAUCUAGAACAUGAGACAGAUCCCCAACAUACUUCCGAAGCAUAGGAAUGUGAGAUACCGGAUGCACACUUGACAAGCUGGGUGGCAAGCUCAUAAGCCACCUCCCCAACUCUUAGACGCACCUCAAAAGACCCAAUGAACCGCGGACUUAAUUACCCUAUCUUUCCAAAUCCUAUAACACCCUUCAUGGGCAAAACCUUCAAUAGAACCUUCUCACCAACCAUGUCGGACAUAUCUCGAACCUUCCUGUCAGCAUAACUCUUCUAUCUCGACUGUGCUGUACGGAGCCUCUCAUGAAUCAUCUUCACCUUUUCCAAAGCAUCCCGCACCAAGUCUAUGCCCAACAGCCUAGCCUUACCCAGCUCAAACCAACCAACUAGAGACCUACACUGCCUGCAUACAAAGCCUCAUAUGGAACCAUCUGAAUACUCGACUGGUAGCCGCUUUUAUAAGCAAACUCUGCAAGUAGAAACUGAUCACAUGACUCGUCGAAAUCAAUGACAUAGGCAUGCAACAUGUCCUCCAAUAUAUGAAUUGUACGCUCAUACUACUCGUCCGUCUGAGGGUGAAAAGUUAUGCUCAACUCAACCUAAGUACCCAACUCUCGCUGCACAGAUCUCCAAAACUACGAUGUAAAUAAGUGUCCGUAUCUGAACUGAUGGAAAUGGGGACACCAUGCAAAUGAACAAUCUCUCGGAUAUAGAUCCCUACCAACCACUAUGAAGUGGACUGGAGGGAACAUUAUGCUAGGAAGUGGACCAGAGAGAACAUCAAGAUUAGUGUAACCUGGCAGCAUAGGCCAUCGGCCUUACUCAGUCAAAAAUCAUCACAAGCCACUCGACAAUAGAAAAAUAGGAUUUCUCAGCCCGAUUAUUUUUUAAAAGAUCAUAUAAGUGUUAAAACAUAGUAAACAUGGCUAAGUGUGAAAAUAGUGAAAUAUAUCAUGACUGAGUUCAAGUAUAAAGUCAAAACAAUGAGGAAAUAUCAAUAAAAAUCCCCGAAGGGUUCAAAUACUUGGAACGAGGCCCAAAUAUGAUAUUCGGCCCAAUUAAUGAUGAUUGCAAAAAGAUUUCAAUAAAAUACAAGGUAAAAUAGUCAUUCGGGACAAACUAAGUCAUAAUCCCCAAUGGUGCACGAACCCACGCUCGUCAUCAAGCAUGUGCAUCACCUCAAUAUAACACAAGAAUGUGCAAUCCGGGGUUUCAUACCCUUAGAACAUCAUUUACAAUCAUUACUCACCUCAAACCGGUCAAAUCUAUAGCUCGCGAUGCCUUUGCCCCUCGAAUUGGCCUCCACUCGCGUCUAAUCUAUCCAAAAUCAGAAUCACAGUGUCAAAAUAAUUGUAAUACCUCCUUUUUCUACACCUGCAAGGGCGUAAAGGUGUUUUUCCAAUUAAAGGACAAUCCGAACGAGAUUUAAUUAUCAAGAUUUUAGAGCCGCCACUUGGGAGAUUAAUGGUGUCCUAAGUCACUGGUUUAAUCCCGAACCGAGGAAAGAUAUGACUCUAUAUUACAGUCCGCAAACAAGAAAUUCUAAGUAAGGAAUGUUGUUGACCCGAGGGAGUGUUAGGCACCCCGGAUCCUGUAGUUCUAGCACGGCCGCUUAAGUUGCUGUCAAUGGCUAAGCAUCUGAUUUAAUACAUGGUAUAACUUAUGUGCUUUUUAUUCGCGAACCACUUCUAUUAUUAUUUUAAAAAAAUUGCAAUCUCGUUAAAAUGUGUCUCGAACCACGUCACAAUCAAUGCACCCAUGGUUGUCAACACAUUUCGACUCCGUUGAGAUUUAGAUUUCGGUCACAUAAAUGUGCACCCGAGUUUAAGAAGGUAAUUUUAUUAAAAUUGCACUUAAAGUAGCUAACGUAUUAUUAUCUUUUGGGAGGGCCAUAAAAUUUGCUAAACGGCCCAUCCCGACUUUCUAAGUAUUUUUAGUAAAGAUUGAAUGAGGGACCCGCAAUUUACAUUUUUAUUUUACGAGGCUUGUCUCAUCAUUUUUAUUUAAAGGAACACCUAAAAGCAACUAAGAUUUUUGUAUUUAUUUUUUGUUUCUAAAGAAAUAAAGAAAAGGGCCCUAAUUGGGUAACAUGUUUGAAAGAUCCCGAAAUGAUUUCAACAAAUAGGCCACAAAGCUGGGCCAACCAUCUUCCGCGAAAUUCGACGCUUCAUUAUUGGAAAAUUGGUCAAUCCUGGCCGUGUAAUAGUUUCUGCACUCAAUAGACAAAUUAUUGGGGCUUGCCAAUUAAUUCUCACGGCCCAGCAAUCCAAACCUUGUGCCAAAACUCAAAAUGAAGUUUGGUGAGUAGCAAUUAUAAGUUCAUGCCCGAAUUUAAACAUUUUACUGGGGACACCAAGGAUCGAAUUAGUAUUGUUCUACUGGCAAGGCAACUUAUUAAUGUUAGAGAAUUGCACAGUCUAGUUAAAUUCAAUCAAUACUGACAAGAAUGGAUCUUGGGCCUAACUCAACCUCAAAAGCUAGCUUAUGAGGUGAGGAUUGCCCAAGCCAUAUAAGGAGACCAAGGACCUCAAAUCCCUCCGAUGUGGGACAACUCAACAAAUACCAAUCACUAGCUCCACCGGAACACUGGUGAAUUAAACUAACGGCUAAAGAUCAGGAAUUGCAUGAUGCCUUUAGCUUCCAAUUUAUAAACUAGUCAGCUUCUGAUUUGGCAUUAACAAAUGGUGAAAUACAUCAUGAAUUCUACACUAAAUCAAGCAAACCUUACUGAAUAAACAAAGCUUAUAAAAUCAGAAGAAGAACUCUAAUGAGUUUAAUAGUCCAAAUUGAAUUAGUAAUCCAAACAGUUCAAAUCAUUGGCAACAGUCCUAAUUACAGUCUAUACACUUAUUGUUCACGUGAUAUCAAUAGAGGUUAACCAAAUAGCUACAACAACUAGUUAACUACAAACUACAACCAACAGAAUGCAUUCCUCAACAUGUAGAUCUGGCGAAACAUCUCUAUUUCAACUCCAAUUCAUAAUUACAUCAAAGUGAGUUCAUAAAUGGGUACCUGGGAAUCAAAAUUUAACAUGAAGAAGAAGAAGUUAGCACAACAGCAACGAGCAAAACUCAACCAGCCAAGAAUCACAGGGGAAGUGUGAAAUCAAGUGACAAUCAAUCAUCCAACCGUAAACCACACCUUCAGCAAUCAAAUCCCCCAACCAAAUACGACUAAAUCCCAAGCUAAUUCGAUACUAAACCCAAUCCAAGCAGUUUCGGAACUUCAGUUAUCAACUCAUGAAUGAAGAGCAACAAAUUAACAACUACACUCGAGAUGGACCAUCAGCUCCAAUAGAACAGUUUCUGAUUAUUUUUUAAAAGUUUUUCUAUUGUUUUUGAAGUUUGGAGUUUGAAUUUCAAAUCUCAGACCUGAAACUUGGAGAACACACUUUUGGGAAAUUUUUGGGCUCCCAAAACUUGUGUGUUAAGGCAUUGACAUGCCCUUUUAUAGGCAAAAAGGAGGGCAUCCCUCAGAUUUUAAAUUUUCACUCUUAGUCCCUUUUUAAUUUUCAUUUUUUGCUUACAUGUCCCUUAUUCCUUGACUUGCUACCCAAGUUAAUACUCCUAAUUUAUAAAUUCUCAACUUAAAACCUAUUCUAGAAUGUUCUAGUGAAUUCCAUUUCAGAUUUUAAAAGAUUCCCUACACUUGAAUCACCCAAAUUACCCCUACUUUAUUUAGAUAUUUACUAACCUAAUCACAACUAGACCCAACCCUUUUCUAUCCUAGUUAAACUAUCAGCUAUAUCAAAUUACCUAAAGCUAAUUGACUUGAAAAUGAAAACUAUAGAUCAAUUAAACUAAGCUUAAACUAACAGAAUCAUUGAUUCAAUUGAACGAGAAUUAAAACAGCUUCAAAGCAAGCUGGAAACAAGAUUAAACAAAAAAAAUCUAAAAGGAAUCAGAUUCAAGAAGGACAUUCGACCAAACUAAUCAAAUUGAACUAAUCGAAACUAAGCUAAUACUUAAUAGUUAACUAACAAUUUGAACAUUUAAACUAAGAAGAACAUAUUUCAACCUGGAAUUAGCUAACAACAAUAGACAAAAUUCUAUUGAAAUUAAACUACCAAUUAAAAUGAUUAGGAAAUUAAAACUACACUUAAUUAACAAAUAGAACAUGAAUCAAGCUAAAUCGAAACUAAAAAUGAGAAAAGGGCUUAUUGAUUUGGUCGUCAAACUUAAUUGAUUUCUGGAACUUAAUUGAUUUCUGGAACUUAAUUCUAGCUAAUGUUAUAGGUUCAUUUUGUCAAAACAAACGUAUAACAUUAACCAAAAUCCUUAGAACUAUUGAAACUCCAAACGGACGGAAAACUCGAAAACCCUAGAUUUGGAAUUUGAGACGGCCCAAUGAGAUUCAAGAGAAACUAGCCAUGGAUUUGUGAAGAGGAAUACGAGGAGGUUAUGUGGUUAAAAUUUGGUGGAUUUUGGAGCAAGUAAGGUUUUAAGCCGGCAUUUCGAUCUAAGAUUUGAGAAGAUCGGCUAGGAUUUGAGGGAUGAGAUUUGGGAUUUGGAAAGUGGAGGGGAUAGAGAUUCAAUGGUGUAAUUUUGAGGCCUACCGGAGCAUCGCCGCCGGCGGAGCCGAUUAGAAGGGUACGAGGAGGGAGAUACAUGUCGUUAGGGUUUGAUUCAUUUUCGGAUACUUUUAUCUUUUGAUCAAGAAUGAUUGAGAACCUUUUGAUCAGCAGAGAUGAAGUUCCAUGAUUGAUCGACGCCAAAAACGGCGUCGUUUCGGGGACUAUUGAGUUGGACUAGGUUGUGGGUUGGGCCUGGAUUGGGUGAUUGUAUUUGGGCUGAAGCUGGCUUUAAUUAAACAAAGAGCCCAAUUCGUAGGUCUCUUAUCAAGGCAACUUUUUUCUUUUUAUUUUUUCUUUGUUUCCCUCUUUUCUUUUGUAUUCAUAUUUUUUUUCAUUUUUUGUUAAAAUGAGGAGAGGUGGAUUUCUUGUUUGAAAGUUGCGUCGAAUGUGCAUUUCUUUGGGAAACACAUUUUCCGCAGAGCGGAGAACGAAAGGCUUUUAUGCCUCCUCCUCUUCGCCGCCAGGGGAAGGCGGAACCCUACAUGGGGCGGCAUCCUUGCUCUUAUUAUUACUUUGGCAUUAUACCAUGAUGUUCCGUUUAAGAAAGGAAGUGCUUAUAGCGAGAAAUAAGGCUUCAGAAAGAUAGAAGAGUCUCACACGAAAAUAUCAGUUAUCAGAGAUAAAGGCGAUGAAGAAAGUUGAAAAAUAUUUUCCAAGUGUUCGAAAGAUGAAUCAGUUUGAACCUUUCCCUUAUUUAUAGGGUUAAUUUGUGCGAAAAUUGAAAAGGCAUGACAAAAACGGGCGCGGGAAACCAAAACGUCACAUCGCCUCCGACAAUGAAGAAAGUUGAAAAAUAUUUUUCCAGGGUUCGAAAGAUGAAUCAGUUUGAACCUUUCCCUUAUUGAUAGGGUAAAGUUGUGCGGAAAUCGAAAAGGCAUAACCGAAACAGAUGCAGGAAACCAAAACGUCACAUCACCUCCUGAAACACCUCCGGAAUAAGAGUAAUAAUAACGCAUGAGGGUGAUGAUGUCAUCCUAAAAAGGAAAUCAUACAUCAACCGAUCAACGACGUUGGGCAAGUCACAUCGUUCAUGUUGCCGCCUGAGUACGAGGUCAAAUUCUCCAAAGACGAGGUUCGCAAUUCCGUCCAUUGGAGACGCCUAUCGAAUGCGCCUCCAACGAACGGAGGGACUAACUAUAUAGGAUUAAAUUGGACCCUAGACGUCUCUACACUGAUGGUACGUUCUCGAGCAUACACCGACUAAAAUGAGGACAUGGCUUGGACGUGGUGACAAAGGCGAUAUUACUUAAAGACAGCGCCUUCAUUCAGAGGAUGUUACCUACUUUUGUACCUUUUUUAUUAUUUCGAAGAAGGUCUCCUGUUAUAUAAAGGAGACCUUAACAUUGUAAAGAGGGCAUCAUCAUUAUUCUCAAAUAAUACAACUCUUCUCUCUCUAUCUUUGUCUCCAUCUCCAAUGAUUGCUUCUCUCCUAAGUUUAUAUUAUCUUUUUAUCUUUCGGAUCUACAAUAACACUACCGUCCUUCUAAUCUCUAGGUCAUAUUAUAUUUGAUUACGAUUUACCUUCGUUUAUCUUUGAUUGUUUUUAAGCUUACAAAGUGUAUCAAUAACUUUUGAGCCAAACAGAUAAGAAUAUUGAGAUGACCUGUUGGAUAAGUGAAUUGGAGAGAGAAGAUAUAAGAAACAGAAUAUAAUAAUAUCUAUUUUAAAUUUGUGAUGUGCUUUAUAAAGGUUCUGUUUGGGUUAGAAUACUUUUUAUCAAUGGAUUAUAAAGUAUGUUCGUUGUAAUGUUUCAUUUUCCUUCUACACUUGGCCAGUGUCUCCCUACUUUACAUUUUGUUAUUUCAUCUUUAUCAACAUAUACUAAUUUCUAUUGUUGAAAUUCAUAAACAAGAGGAAAUGGACAAGAAGCGCAAGACCUCAGCAGGUCUGUAUGCAUGAGUCUUGGGGAAGUUGUCAUUAGUGGUAACUAUAUCUUGAUCUUAUGUUUGAAAACUGGCAGCAGCUUCCACAUUUACUCAAAGAUCAUUCUUCCCUCCUAGUAUGCUUUACAUUUAUAGCUCAGGUAGUUCCUUUUUUUUUUGUUGACAAGCAUUCCGAGGAUGCAAGCAAAAUAGAAGUAAGAAUAUCUCUAAUAUAAAAAUAAGAGAAAUACUAUACGAAUUGACCUUUGCAGCAAGGUGGUAACUUAGAUAGAUGCAGUGUGCUACUUACAGUGUGUCAAAGUAGGAUGGGAGUGGCACACUGGUAUACCAAUAAUAUCGACGUUUAAGAUGAGUUAUAAUCAUUUGGUAUUUAGAAUUUGUUAGCUUUCUGGUGAAAGAAAGAAACUUAUCAUGAAGACAUUGGUCAUAUGGCUAUAAAGGAAAUGAAUCUUCUAUUCUCGUGUCCCUUCCUACAUUAUAUUUACAAUAGGAAGAGAAACAUAAUGUCCAGCUUUAAUGUCAAAAGAUGCAUAUAGAAUAUGGUGCAGAUAGAUGGUUGUCUAAUAAAGGUCCAUUUAUUAUCUUUUACUUUUAGGGGAACUAAUUUCUGAGAACUCAUCUUCUUCCCUCUUUAUCAGAAGUGAGAAUGCUGACAUGAGUAACGAAAAAUUCUGUGAAAAAUACGAUCGCCUGCUAGUGGAAGGUUUUCUGCGUUCAGUCAAUCUACGCAGAGUGAAUCGGUCCCUAAGGAACCCCCGAAAGGGCUGCCGUCCGAUGGGUACACGAAAGUGACGAAGUUGCNNNNNNNNNNNNNNNNNNNNNNNNNNNNNNNNNNNNNNNNNNNNNNNNNNNNNNNNNNNNNNNNNNNNNCACGAAAGUGACGAAGUUGCUUUGACUACAGAACCAUGCCUGUCUGUUGGAGCGAAUUGGAUGAUCGGGCCGAGGGCUGCCCCCUCUUCCCCUCACUCUCCUUUCCCUAAUAUGAACCUUGAGUCAUCAAAGCCUUUUUGACUCGGCCUGGCCCG
rnacentral:lncRNA from 1 species